UACAGAGGUCUCAAGCGUUGUUCGGAUUCAUUGGGCGUAAAGGGCGCGUAGGCGGUUUGUACAGUCAGGUGUGAAAUUCCCGGGCUCAACCUGGGGGCUGCACUUGAUACGUAUGGACUGGAGUGGGGAAGAGGGUCGUGGAAUUCCCAGUGUAGAGGUGAAAUUCGUAGAUAUUGGGAAGAACACCGGUGGCGAAGGCGGCGACCUGGUCCUUGACUGACGCUGAGGCGCGAAAGCGUGGGGAGCAAACAGG
rnacentral:rRNA from 1 species